rnacentral:rRNA from 1 species
CCUACGGGAGGCAGCAGUGAGGAAUAUUGGUCAAUGGACGCAAGUCUGAACCAGCCAUGCCGCGUGCAGGAAGACGGCUCUAUGAGUUGUAAACUGCUUUUGUACGAGGGUAAACGCAGAUACGCGUAUCUGUCUGCACGUAUCGUACGAAUAAGGACCGGCUAACUCCGUGCCAGCAGCCGCGGUAAUACGGAGGAUUCAAGCGUUAUCCGGAUUUAUUGGGUUUAAAGGGUGCGUAGGCGGUCGGAUAAGUUAGAGGUGAAAUCCCGAGGCUCAACUUCGGAAUUGCUUCUGAUACUGUUCGGCUAGAGAGUAGUUGCGGUAGGCGGAAUGUAUGGUGUAGCGGUGAAAUGCUUAGAGAUCAUACAGAACACCGAUUGCGAAGGCAGCUUACCAAGCUACGUCUGACGUUGAGGCACGAAAGCGUGGGGAGCAAACAGGAUUAGAUACCCGGGUAGUC